GGGUUGUGAGGUUAAGCGACUAAGCGUACACGGUGGAUGCCCUGGCAGUCAGAGGCGAUGAAGGGCGUGCUAAUCUGCGAUAAGCGCCGGUAAGGUGAUAUGAACCGUUAUAACCGGCGAUACCCGAAUGGGGAAACCCAGUGUGAUUCGUCACACUAUCAUUAACUGAAUCCAUAGGUUAAUGAGGCGAACCGGGGGAACUGAAACAUCUAAGUACCCCGAGGAAAAGAAAUCAACCGAGAUUCCCCCAGUAGCGGCGAGCGAACGGGGAGGAGCCCAGAGCCUGAAUCAGCAUGUGUGUUAGUGGAAGCGUCUGGAAAGGUGCGCGAUACAGGGUGACAGCCCCGUACACAAAAGCGCAUGUGCUGUGAGCUCGAUGAGUAGGGCGGGACACGUGGUAUCCUGUCUGAAUAUGGGGGGACCAUCCUCCAAGGCUAAAUACUCCUGACUGACCGAUAGUGAACCAGUACCGUGAGGGAAAGGCGAAAAGAACCCCGGCGAGGGGAGUGAAAAAGAACCUGAAACCGUGUACGUACAAGCAGUGGGAGCACAGGUUUACCUGUGUGACUGCGUACCUUUUGUAUAAUGGGUCAGCGACUUAUAUUCUGUAGCAAGGUUAACCGUAUAGGGGAGCCGGAGGGAAACCGAGUCUUAACCGGGCGUUAAGUUGCAGGGUAUAGACCCGAAACCCGGUGAUCUAGCCAUGGGCAGGUUGAAGGUUGGGUAACACUAACUGGAGGACCGAACCGACUAAUGUUGAAAAAUUAGCGGAUGACCUGUGGCUGGGGGUGAAAGGCCAAUCAAACCGGGAGAUAGCUGGUUCUCCCCGAAAGCUAUUUAGGUAGCGCCUCGUGAAUUCAUCUCCGGGGGUAGAGCACUGUUUCGGCUAGGGGGCCAUCCCGGCUUACCAACCCGAUGCAAACUGCGAAUACCGGAGAAUGUUAUCACGGGAGACACACGGCGGGUGCUAACGUCCGUCGUGAAGAGGGAAACAACCCAGACCGCCAGCUAAGGUCCCAAAGUCAUGGUUAAGUGGGAAACGAUGUGGGAAGGCCCAGACAGCCAGGAUGUUGGCUUAGAAGCAGCCAUCAUUUAAAGAAAGCGUAAUAGCUCACUGGUCGAGUCGGCCUGCGCGGAAGAUGUAACGGGGCUAAACCAUGCACCGAAGCUGCGGCAGCGACGCUGAUGCGUUGUUGGGUAGGGGAGCGUUCUGUAAGCCUGCGAAGGUGACCUGUGAGGGUUGCUGGAGGUAUCAGAAGUGCGAAUGCUGACAUAAGUAACGAUAAAGCGGGUGAAAAGCCCGCUCGCCGGAAGACCAAGGGUUCCUGUCCAACGUUAAUCGGGGCAGGGUGAGUCGACCCCUAAGGCGAGGCCGAAAGGCGUAGUCGAUGGGAAACGGGUUAAUAUUCCCGUACUUGGUGUUACUGCGAAGGGGGGACGGAGAAGGCUAUGUUGGCCGGGCGACGGUUGUCCCGGUUUAAGCGUGUAGGUGUGUGUUCCAGGUAAAUCCGGUUCACUUUAACACUGAGGCGUGAUGACGAGGCACUACGGUGCUGAAGCAACAAAUGCCCUGCUUCCAGGAAAAGCCUCUAAGCAUCAGGUAACAUCAAAUCGUACCCCAAACCGACACAGGUGGUCAGGUAGAGAAUACCAAGGCGCUUGAGAGAACUCGGGUGAAGGAACUAGGCAAAAUGGUGCCGUAACUUCGGGAGAAGGCACGCUGACACGUAGGUGAAGUGAUUUACUCACGGAGCUGAAGUCAGUCGAAGAUACCAGCUGGCUGCAACUGUUUAUUAAAAACACAGCACUGUGCAAACACGAAAGUGGACGUAUACGGUGUGACGCCUGCCCGGUGCCGGAAGGUUAAUUGAUGGGGUCAGCGCAAGCGAAGCUCCUGAUCGAAGCCCCGGUAAACGGCGGCCGUAACUAUAACGGUCCUAAGGUAGCGAAAUUCCUUGUCGGGUAAGUUCCGACCUGCACGAAUGGCGUAAUGAUGGCCAGGCUGUCUCCACCCGAGACUCAGUGAAAUUGAACUCGCUGUGAAGAUGCAGUGUACCCGCGGCAAGACGGAAAGACCCCGUGAACCUUUACUAUAGCUUGACACUGAACAUUGAGCCUUGAUGUGUAGGAUAGGUGGGAGGCUUUGAAGUGUGGACGCCAGUCUGCAUGGAGCCGACCUUGAAAUACCACCCUUUAAUGUUUGAUGUUCUAACGUGGACCCGUAAUCCGGGUUGCGGACAGUGUCUGGUGGGUAGUUUGACUGGGGCGGUCUCCUCCUAAAGAGUAACGGAGGAGCACGAAGGUUGGCUAAUCCUGGUCGGACAUCAGGAGGUUAGUGCAAUGGCAUAAGCCAGCUUGACUGCGAGCGUGACGGCGCGAGCAGGUGCGAAAGCAGGUCAUAGUGAUCCGGUGGUUCUGAAUGGAAGGGCCAUCGCUCAACGGAUAAAAGGUACUCCGGGGAUAACAGGCUGAUACCGCCCAAGAGUUCAUAUCGACGGCGGUGUUUGGCACCUCGAUGUCGGCUCAUCACAUCCUGGGGCUGAAGUAGGUCCCAAGGGUAUGGCUGUUCGCCAUUUAAAGUGGUACGCGAGCUGGGUUUAGAACGUCGUGAGACAGUUCGGUCCCUAUCUGCCGUGGGCGCUGGAGAACUGAGGGGGGCUGCUCCUAGUACGAGAGGACCGGAGUGGACGCAUCACUGGUGUUCGGGUUGUCAUGCCAAUGGCACUGCCCGGUAGCUAAAUGCGGAAGAGAUAAGUGCUGAAAGCAUCUAAGCACGAAACUUGCCCCGAGAUGAGUUCUCCCUGAGACUUAGAGUCUCCUGAAGGAACGUUGAAGACGACGACGUUGAUAGGCCGGGUGUGUAAGCGCAGCGAUGCGUUGAGCUAACCGGUACUAAUGAACCGUGAGGCUUAACCUUACAACGCCGAAG
rnacentral:rRNA from 1 species